rnacentral:rRNA from 1 species
UACGAAGGGGGCUAGCGUUGCUCGGAAUUACUGGGCGUAAAGCGCACGUAGGCGGUCUUUUAAGUCGGGGGUGAAAUCCUGGAGCUCAACUCCAGAACUGCCUUCGAUACUGGAAGACUUGAGUCCGGGAGAGGUGAGUGGAACUGCGAGUGUAGAGGUGAAAUUCGUAGAUAUCGAGAAGAACACCGGUGGCGAAGGCGGCCAUCUGGACGGUGACUGACGCUGAGACGCGAAAGCGUGGGGAGCAAACAGG